rnacentral:pre_miRNA from 1 species
UGGCAGUAGGGAGGGGGCCGAUACACUGUAAGAGAUGUAGUCUGAGGUCUCACAGUGAACCGGUCUCUUUUCCUGCUGCUUC